rnacentral:rRNA from 1 species
AUUGAACGCUGGCGGCAGGCCUAACACAUGCAAGUCGAGCGGAUGACGGGAGCUUGCUCCUUGAUUCAGCGGCGGACGGGUGAGUAAUGCCUAGGAAUCUGCCUGGUAGUGGGGGACAACGUUUCGAAAGGAACGCUAAUACCGCAUACGUCCUACGGGAGAAAGCAGGGGACCUUCGGGCCUUGCGCUAUCAGAUGAGCCUAGGUCGGAUUAGCUUGUUGGUGAGGUAAUGGCUCACCAAGGCGACGAUCCGUAACUGGUCUGAGAGGAUGAUCAGUCACACUGGAACUGAGACACGGUCCAGACUCCUACGGGAGGCAGCAGUGGGGAAUAUUGGACAAUGGGCGAAAGCCUGAUCCAGCCAUGCCGCGUGUGUGAAGAAGGUCUUCGGAUUGUAAAGCACUUUAAGUUGGGAGGAAGGGUUGUAGAUUAAUACUCUGCAAUUUUGACGUUACCGACAGAAUAAGCACCGGCUAACUCUGUGCCAGCAGCCGCCGUAAUAC